ensembl:lncRNA
UCUCUCAGGUCCUCUCUCGGGGUCAGGGCUAUAAGGGGAGCUCCUCUAUAGUCCUCUCUCAGGUCCUCUCUCGGGGUCAGGGCUAUUAGGUGUGUUUGGGUAUUCAAUCAGUUUUAUGAUUUCUGCUCAGACAAAGUACCAGUACGUUAGCAAAACAUAUCUCAGAGUUGUGCACAUAUAUAUAUACAUAUAUAUAUAUAUGAGCUAUAUAUUUGUAUUCAAUGUACAUAACCGUAACCCAUAUGCAUGUAUUAUACUGUCUUUACAUGCAUUAUUUGCUUUGCAGAUUAUUUCCUGUAACUUGAAUAUAUUUAGUUUCUGUGUGGUGCCUUUUUAGACCACACACAUGUUGAUGUGAUAUUCCACUAUUUAAGUGCUAAUUAGCUAAAGUUUUAACUGUGUUCUCCUCUUUAAGUGCUAAUUAGCUAAAGUAUGACCAGUGUUCUCCUCUUUAAGUGCUAAUUAGCUAAAGUAUUAACAGUGUUCUCCUGUUUAAGUGCUAAUUAGCUAAAGUAUUAACAGUGUUCUCCUGUUUAAGUGCUAAUUAGCUAAAGUAUUAACAGUGUUCUCCUGUUUAUAUGCUAAUUAGCUAAAAUAUGAACUGUGUUCUCCUGUUCCUGUUCCUGUUCGGUUCUCCCUCAGGCUAUAGGUAUUUAACAACAAACAAGUCAGAAACUCACUAUCUGCUGUACUGCAGUGUACAUUUGAGAACUGGAACCUCUAACACAACACUCUGACAUCGCUGUGGUUCCUCAGGAGAUAUCACGAGUUCUACAGUCUUGCCCAUAUUAAUCAGGAGAUAGCACGAGUUCUAAAGGCCUGCCCAUAUUAAUCAGGAGAUAUGUGAAUAUAUCGUCAUCUUCAGUCCUGCCCAUUAAUCAGAGUACAGUAUGUGAAUAUAAUGUCAUCUUCAGUCCUGCCCAUAUUAACCAGAGUACAGUAUGUGAAUAUAAUGUCAUCUUCAGUCCUGCCCAUAUUAACCAGAGUACAGUAUGUGAAUAUAAUGUCAUCUUCAGUUCUGCCCAUAUUAACCAGAGUACAGUAUGUGAAUAUAAUGUCAUCUUCAGUUCUGCCCAUAUUAACCAGAGUAUGUGAAUAUAUUGGCAUCUUCAUUCUUUCCCCUGUUUGUUUGCAGAUGUUAGUCAAGUAGUGACCGAAUAAAUCAUUCACUAAAAACAG